rnacentral:misc_RNA from 1 species
ACUCUGAAAAUCAUAUUGAUAAACUUAUUGAAAUUGACAAUUUAAAUGCAAUGGAACUAUUAACACCAAGUGAUGUACUUGAAAGUAUACAAAUGUAUGAUUCAACAGUUGAAAUUGUUGGCUAUGUUGAUAACAUCGAAUCUCCACGUUGCGUGGGCUCGCAACAACAAUAUAAGUUCUUCAAAUUUUAUUUAAAUAACGGAAAAGGAAAAAGGGUUCAAAUUGUUGCCUGGAAUGAUGACAUUGAUUUUGUGGAACAUCAUAUAAAAGUAAACACUUAUUGAGAGGAUACGUAAAGACGAAUUUUGCUGAAGUAUAUAACAACAACAUGAACAAAAUUAUUGGAUGUGGUGCAAUAACUGAUGGCACAUUCAAACUGGAAAUUCAUGUAAUAAAUUUUAGUAACGAUGAUUAUACUUUACUUGAUAUUAGAAAAGGUGAUCAUGUAGAAAUUAUUGGUAUCAUGCAAACUACAGGAUCAGAAUAAGAGAAAUUCAACUUCCACGUCCA